GAUGAACGCUAGCGGCAGGCCUAAUACAUGCAAGUCGAGCGGCAAGUCGAGGAGUAAUCUGAGACCUAGAGCGGCGUACGGGUGCGUAACGCGUAUGCAACCUACAUCAUACAGGGGGAUAGCCCGGAGAAAUCUGGAUUAAUACCCCAUAGCACAGCACAAGGGCAUCUGCGAGCUGUUAAAGAUUCAUCGGUAUGAGAUGGGCAUGCGUCUGAUUAGCUAGUUGGCGGUGUAACGGACCACCAAGUCGACGAUCAGUAGGGGUUCUGAGAGGAAGGGCCCCGACACUGGUGAUGAGAUACGGGCCAGACUCGUACGGGAGGCAGGAGUAGGGAAUAUUGGUCAAUGGACGAGAGUCUGACCCAGCCAUACCGCGUGCAGUAAGAAGGCCUGCUGGGUUGUAAACUGCUUUUAUCGGGGAAGAAAAGGCCCAUGCGUAGAACAUCGCCGGUACCAGAUGAAUAAGCACCGGCUAACUCCGUGCCAGCCGCCGCAGUAA
rnacentral:rRNA from 1 species